GGAAUCUUCGGCAAUGGACGAAAGUCUGACCGAGCAACGCCGCGUGAGUGGAGAAGGUUUUCGGAUCGUAAAACUCUGUUGGUAGAGAAGAACGUUGGUGAGAGUGGAAAGCUCAUCAAGUGACGGUAACUACCCAGAAAGGGACGGCUAACUACGUGCCAG
rnacentral:rRNA from 1 species